rnacentral:rRNA from 1 species
AAUAUGGCACAAUGGAGGAAACUCUGAUGCAGCGACGCCGCGUGAGUGAAGAAGGNUUNNGGAUCNUNAAGCUCUGUCCUUGGNNNNNAAGGUCGUCGGCCUUGACGGUACCUAAGAAGAAAGCACCGGCUAACUACGUGCCAGCAGCCGCGGUAAUACGUAGGGGGCAAGCGUUGUCCGGAAUUAUUGGGCGUAAAGGGUGCGUAGGCGGCCUUUUAAGUCAGAUGUGAAAGCCCACGGCUUAACCGUGGGAUUGCAUUUGAAACUGGAAGGCUUGAGUAUCGGAGAGGGUAGUGGAAUUCCCAGUGUAGCGGUGAAAUGCGUAGAUAUUGGGAGGAACACCAGUGGCGAAGGCGACUAACUGGACGAAAACUGACGCUGAGGCACGAAAGCUAGGGGAGCAAAC